UACGUAGGGUGCAAGCGUUGUCCGGAUUUAUUGGGCGUAAAGAGCGUGUAGGCGGCCUGGUAGGUCUGCUGUGAAAACUCGAGGCUUAACCUCGAGAUGUCGGCGGAAACCAUCUGGCUAGAGUCCGGAAGAGGAGAAUGGAAUUCCCGGUGUAGCGGUGAAAUGCGCAGAUAUCGGGAAGAACACCCGUGGCGAAGGCGGUUCGCUGGGACGGGACUGACGCUGAGACGCGAAAGCGUGGGGAGCGAACAGG
rnacentral:rRNA from 1 species